UACGUAGGGGGCAAGCGUUGUCCGGAUUUAUUGGGCGUAAAGAGCGUGUAGGCGGCCAGACAGGUCCGUUGUGAAAACUCGAGGCUCAACCUCGAGACGUCGACGGAAACCGUCUGGCUAGAGUCCGGAAGAGGAGUGUGGAAUUCCUGGUGUAGCGGUGAAAUGCGCAGAUAUCAGGAAGAACACCAAUGGCGAAAGCAGCUCUCUGGGACGGUACUGACGCUGAGACGCGAAAGCGUGGGGAGCGAACAGG
rnacentral:rRNA from 1 species